rnacentral:rRNA from 1 species
CGGAACGAUCCUAGCUUGCUAGGAGGCGUCGAGCGGCGGACGGGUGAGUAACGCGUGAGAAUCUACCCAUGAGUGGGGGACAACCCGGGGAAACUCGGGCUAAUACCGCAUACGCCCUACGGGGUAAAGCAGGGGACCUUCGGGCCUUGCGCUGAUGGAUGAGCUCGCGUCGGAUUAGCUUGUUGGUGAGGUAAAGGCUCACCAAGGCGACGAUCCGUAGCUGGUCUGAGAGGAUGAUCAGCCACACCGGGACUGAGACACGGCCCGGACUCCUACGGGAGGCAGCAGUGGGGAAUCUUGGACAAUGGGGGCAACCCUGAUCCAGCCAUGCCGCGUGUGUGAAGAAGGCCUUCGGGUUGUAAAGCACUUUCAGUAGGGAGGAAGGCUUCGGCUUAAUACGCUGGAGUACUUGACGUUACCUACAGAAGAAGCACCGGCUAAUUUCGUGCCAGCAGCCGCGGUAAUACGAAAGGUGCAAGCGUUAAUCGGAAUUACUGGGCGUAAAGCGCGCGUAGGCGGUGUGUUAAGUCGGAUGUGAAAGCCCAGGGCUCAACCUUGGAAUUGCAUCCGAUACUGGCACGCUAGAGUGCAGUAGAGGGAGGUGGAAUUUCCGGUGUAGCGGUGAAAUGCGUAGAGAUCGGAAGGAACACCAGUGGCGAAGGCGGCCUCCUGGACUGACACUGACGCUGAGGUGCGAAAGCGUGGGGAGCAAACAGGAUU